rnacentral:snRNA from 1 species
UCACUCUGGUUUCCCUUCAAAACGUAUAAAUCUUUCGCCUUUUACUAAAGAUUUCCGUGGAGGGGAACACUCAAAUGAGUCUAUAAUCAUUUUUUGAAACUCUACUUUUUAGUAGAGU